CCUACGGGAGGCAGCAGUGAGGAAUAUUGGUCAAUGGACGAGAGUCUGAACCAGCCAAGUAGCGUGAAGGAUGACUGCCCUAUGGGUUGUAAACUUCUUUUAUAUGGGAAUAAAAUGUUCCACGUGUGGGAUUUUGUAUGUACCAUAUGAAUAAGGAUCGGCUAACUCCGUGCCAGCAGCCGCGGUAAUACGGAGGAUCCGAGCGUUAUCCGGAUUUAUUGGGUUUAAAGGGAGCGUAGGUGGAUUGUUAAGUCAGUUGUGAAAGUUUGCGGCUCAACCGUAAAAUUGCAGUUGAAACUGGCAGUCUUGAGUACAGUAGAGGUGGGCGGAAUUCGUGGUGUAGCGGUGAAAGGCUUAGAUAUCACGAAGAACUCCGAUUGCGAAGGUAGCUCACUGGACUGCAACUGACACUGAGGCUCGAAAGUGUGGGUAUCAAACAGGAUUAGAUACCCCAGUAGUC
rnacentral:rRNA from 1 species